UCUUCAAAUUUAAAUUUAUUAAGACAUUCAGCUAUGUCUGUCAGUCUACAUCCAAAUUUGCUACUAAAAAUAAAAUAAAGUCACAUCCCACAUUAGGAAUACCGAGGUCUGAAAAACACUUUUUGAGCCAAGCCUAUUGUAUAAAUAAAUGACUAGUUUCUUUUCAUAUCAAAAUUCCCAUAAAAAAUUACAUUCCCCCCUCCCCAGUUCUACCUGUAGCCAUGAUGAAUGUAAAAAUUUAAAUAUGACACAUCCUUGUCAAAGAAAAGGUGCAAAGUCUAUUAACAGCUUUAAAAGUGGCAUUUGCAGAGUGUGAUCAUACAGUUAUGUACUCAUUCCCAAAGUGCAAAUAUUGCCAUAAUUUAACACUGUUUUGAUUCAUGCUGUACAAGACUCAAUAAUCACCUGACUGAGCUCCAAUUAACUGAGGAGAAACGGGGUGGAGGAGAGGGCUGGUUGCUAUUCAGACUUGAUAAUGAGAUUGAUCUGUCCCAUGGAGAGUGAAAGUUCAGUUCCACUUCUGCCUCCUUCUUUCCAUGCUGUCCUCAUGCUCUUUAUCCUCACUUCCUCAGUCCCUUCAACACUCAAAAUCUGAUUUUAUUUCUCUCUCACACGUAUCAGGGGCAGUUUCUGAAGUUGC
rnacentral:lncRNA from 1 species